GGAUAAUCUACCCUUAGGACCGGGAUAACCCUGGGAAACUGGGGCUAAUACUGAAUAGGCAAUUAUUCCUGCAAUGGUUUUUUGUUUAAAUGUUUUUUCGCCUAAGGAUGAGUCUGCGGCCGAUUAGGUAGUUGGUUAGGUAAUGGCUUACCAAGCCGUUGAUCGGUACGGGUUGUGAGAGCAAGAGCCCGGAGAUGGAACCUGAGACAAGGUUCCAGGCCCUACGGGGUGCAGCAGGCGCGAAACCUCCGCAAUGUGAGAAAUCGCGACGGGGGGAUCCCAAGUGCCAUUCUUAACGGGAUGGCUUUUCAUUAGUGUAAAGAGCCUUUGGAAUAAGAGCUGGGCAAGACCGGUGCCAGCCGCCGCGGUAACACCGGCAGCUCUAGUGGUAACAAUUUUUAUUGGGCCUAAAGCGUCCGUAGCCGGUUUAAUAAGUCUCUGGUGAAAUCCUGUAGCUUAACUGUGGGAAUUGCUGGAGAUACUAUUAGACUUGAGACCGGGAGAGGUUAGAGGUACUCCCAGGGUAGAGGUGAAAUUCUGUAAUCCUGGAAGGACCGCCUGUUGCGAAGGCGUCUAGCUGGAACGGUUCUGACGGUGAGGGACGAAAGUUAGGGGCGCGAACCGGAUUAGAUACCCGGGUAGUCCUAACUGUAAACGAUGCGGACUUGGUGUUGGGGUGGCUUUGAGCUGCUCCAGUGCCGAAAGGGAAGCUGUUAAGUCCGCCGCCUGGGAAGUACGGUCGCAAGACUGAAA
rnacentral:rRNA from 1 species